rnacentral:ncRNA from 1 species
CUACCACCGCCUCAAGUCGGUGUUCCGGCCGGAGCGAUCCGGACGGAGUGAAAAGGGAAUCCGGUGCGGCGCACGCGCGCCAAUGCCGGAGCUGCCUCCGCAACUGUAAGCGGCGAGCGCGCGGUCACCAGGCCACUGGGGAAAACCCGGGAAGGCGACCGCCCACGCGACGACCCGCGAGCCAGGAGACCUGCCGGCGACGUCGCGCAUUGC